AACGGCGAGUGAAGCGGCAACAGCUCAAAUUUGAAAUCUGGCCCUCGGGUCCGAGUUGUAAUUUGUAGAGGAUGCUUUUGGCGCGGUGCCUUCCGAGUUCCCUGGAACGGGACGCCUUAGAGGGUGAGAGCCCCGUACGGUUGGACACCAAGCCUCUGUAAAGCUCCUUCGACGAGUCGAGUAGUUUGGGAAUGCUGCUCUAAAUGGGAGGUAAAUUUCUUCUAAAGCUAAAUAUUGGCCAGAGACCGAUAGCGCACAAGUAGAGUGAUCGAAAGAUGAAAAGCACUUUGAAAAGAGGGUUAAAUAGCACGUGAAAUUGUUGAAAGGGAAGCGUUUGCGACCAGACCUUUUCCUAGCGGAUCAUCCGGUGUUCUCACCGGUGCACUUCGCUAGGUUUAGGCCAGCAUCGGUUUCUGUAGGGGGAUAAAAGCUCUGGGAACGUAGCUCCUCCGGGAGUGUUAUAGCCCUCUGCAUAAUACCCUUACGGGGACCGAGGACCGCGCUUCGGCAAGGAUGCUGGCGUAAUGGUCGUCAACGACCCGUCUUGAAACACGGACCAAGGAGUCGAACAUUUGUGCGAGUGUUUGGGUGUUAAACCCUCACGCGUAAUGAAAGUGAACGGAGGUGAGAGCCCUUACGGGUGCAUCAUCGACCGAUCCUGAUGUCUUCGGAUGGAUUUGAGUAAGAGCAUAACUGUUCGGACCCGAAAGAUGGUGAACUAUGCGUGGAUAGGGUGAAGCCAGAGGAAACUCUGGUGGAGGCUCGCAGCGGUUCUGACGUGCAAAUCGAUCGUCAAAUCUGCGCAUGGGGGCGAAAGACUUAUCGAACCAUCUAGUAGCUGGUUACCGCCGAAGUUUCCCUCAGGAUAGCAGUGUUGUUCUUCAGUUUUAUGAGGUAAAGCGAAUGAUUAGGGACUCGGGGGCGCUUUUUUGCCUUCAUCCAUUCUCAAACUUUAAAUAUGUAAGAAGCCCUUGUUACUUAAUGAA
rnacentral:rRNA from 1 species